CUGUGUCACAACCUGGCUCAAAGGAUGUGACAAGCAAGUGGGAGACCACACACAGGCUUUUAAAGGCUGUAAGAUAUUUUUAAUGAAAUAAGGUAAAGAACAUUCAACACAAGUUAAAUAAUAUAACAACCAUAACUGAAGAACCACAUGAACAUAAUAAGUGCCAGACGGAGAGAGAUCGCCAAGGUUCACUCUACGUGGCUUUAUAUACUGGGACUGGCCUUCUCAGGUGUGCUGUAUCUGUAAUUGGAUCACCUCAUUAACAGAUCUUUUUAAUAAUCAUUGUCUUUCUAUUUUAGAUAGUAUUUGUCCUUUUAAAUCCAAAUUAGCUCCUGUCUUGAAAUCAUCCCCCUGGAUAAACGACAGCAUUCGCUUUAAGCAGCGAAUGCUGUCGUUUGGUGUCUCUAAACAAAGAUGGAUACCUUUUAAUUAAUGCAGACAGUUCUGCACGUUUGUCAGCAGUAGUGAUGGUAAAUUCGAUUCUUUUUACUGAAUCGAGUUUGAAUGAGUCACUCACCAAAGUGAAUCGUGUUUUUUGAGUCAUUUGAGUCACUGAGUCAGUUGACCAGAGAGUGCAAAAAAUGUACAUUUUCACUCAAACUUAAUUUGUUUCUCUUUUCAUGUAAAUCCUACUGCUAAGAUGAGUGAUUGAAAAAGAAAAACAACUAUUUUUAUAGAGCAAAAAAGAGCAAAAAAAAGAUUUCUAAAGGGAACAUUUAUAUUAUUUAUUUUUAUUUUUUAUUUUUUCUCAAAUGUGUCAAAUAUAUAUUUUCUCAUCUAAAUGUCCACUGAGCUGUGUGCCAGGGGGCGGUAAUGCUCCUUAACAUUGGUUGCCAACCAAGAAGAAGAAGAAGAAGAAGCUGUGAGCCAGGAGGGAGGGGGUGAGUGACUGAGUGGCUGUAUCCCAAUUCAGGUUCUGCAGCCUCAAAGGCCGCAUUUUAAGGCCGAUUACAUCACAGCGACGCGACGAAGGCUGUCCCAAUUCAAAGGCUGCUCGAAAUGUGGCCCUCAAAUGCGUCCUUCAUUUCCCUGAAUUUUAAGGAUGGGUCUGUGUGUCCUUCAUGGCCCAACAUAUCCCAGAAUGCAUAGCGCAGCCCGGCCAAUUCAGUUUGUAAUGAUGGCAGCAGGUACAGACGCGGCAGAAACAGCGGCGGAGGGCACCCACAUUCAUAAAUGUAUGUUACUUCGGAAGUACCGACACAAUUGUCAAAAUGCAAAAGAUAAUGGCAGUGUAAUUGUACAUGUCACAGUGAAUUCAUCCACAGCCGUCACACGUAGGUGACUGUAAAUACACAGUCCCGCUGAUUUGUAACUAGUCAGUUUUAAUAUUACCUUGUGAGGGUCACCAAAAAAAACGUGAAGAUAACAAAAUACAAAAAUGUAGCCGUGUAAACUCCAAAUAUCUGCGCAAUGUGGCAACACAUCACAUAUCUGCAAAAGUGCGCUGAUGUUCUCAGAGACAUCUGUUACCGAUAUGUAACCAACUUUAAGGUAUAAAGGUGAAUUACAGCACAAUAACUACUUGGGCUCGUAAUGAGGCCCUGGCCAGUAUCAGAAGACACCAAAUUCGUAUGGAGCCAAAGUAUUGAGCAGCAAUAAUGACCUGGACACAAUGUUAACUUUUGAGUAGCCACUCUUGUAUUGUUACAAGGUAUAACAGGUAUUGUCCAAUUUGUACAGAAAAAGUAUAAAAUAAAAUAAAUAGUGUGCACACUGAAACAAAAUAAAAGUACUCGUGUGGGCCCUUUAAGAAUUAGAGUUAAGUUGGCAACAGCCAACUUCAAAGGUCCUUGUGAGUGUAAUUGGAAUGUAUGAGUGUGUGGGUGUGUAUCUUCUUUGGUGUGGAUCGUCCUCAAAGUGGUUGGCUCGCCAUCUAUCACGACCGGAAUAUCGUCCUGGUCCUCGGACUUUUCUGUCCUCUCCAAAAAACCUGACCGUUGCUCUGUUUCACAAAAGCCCAACACACACUGGUGUCGGAAUUGCAGCAGCUCUCCGGAUGAAAGGUGAGUGGUUAGCCGACGUUGCUUCUCUCCUUCAUCCAGCCACUCGACUCCAGACUUCCAGCAGGUAAGUAUGCUGGCUUUCCUUCCUCUCAAUUCUGAGUUUUCCCUCUCUUUUGUCCCUGCGUUUCUCGGAUUGAGUAGCAGAUGCCUCCACUCCUCUUGCUGAGAUGAGAAAAACCCGGGAGCACCAUGCACCUUCACCUCACUUCCUGGCUGACAGGGUCAGUGCGGCCUGCGUAGGCUCUGAUUGGUCGCUGAGCUAGGUGCCCUCACGUGGGGUGAACUGAGAGAUAACUUAUCCAGCUGGCGAGAACAGCGUACUCCGUUCCAACGCCCCCGCCCGCGCUCUGUCGCCACUCAGGGAGUAAGGAGGAGACGGCUGAGCUCAUCAAACUCCGGGGUGAAAACGAACACCUGUUCACUGGUGCCAAGAACUCAGCCGCUGCGGGUUGGAGGGCAAUCCUGGAGCAGAUGGGCCUGGCGGGCCAAAUCACCCCCUUGCAGGCAAAAAAAAAAAAUGGGACAACCUAAAGAAAAAAUACAAAGAUUGCAAGUAUCCUGCAUCAGGUGAGGGGGUGAGUGGGAAGACCACUGCUGCCACUUGGCCCUGGUUUGUCCCAAUGGAUGAGGUGCUAGGACAGAGGCCUUCUACCAGGCCUCCAGUCCUAAUUGCCUCCAUCCAGGAGGACACUCCAGGGCCCAGUACAGCAGUGGGCACCCAAGGGCAGGAUGUGGAACUGCGGGAGAAUGAGGCCCAGCUGGAGGCAAGACCAGAAAAGAGGAAGAGGGACAGGGAGGAUGAAGUCCUGGAAUUGAUCAAAGAGGACAUGAGGCUACAGAGGGAGAUUGAAGAAAGACGUGCCGAGCGAAUGGACAGGAUCAUAUGUCUACUGGAGAAGGUUGUGGAAAAAAAAUGAGUAAGGUAGUGUGAAUAGGACCCAUUGUACAAACACCUAUAGUUUCCAUAUUUAUGUUUGUGCAGGAUAUGUAAAAUGUGGACGAAAUAAUUUAAGUUCUGUUGAUACAAGUUGCACUUUUUAUUUGAAUUGUUGAACAAAUGUGAAACAUGAACAGAAUGUACAAA